GAUGAACGCUGGCGGCGUGCCUAAUACAUGCAAGUCGAGCGAACAGAUAAGGAGCUUGCUCCUUUGACGUUAGCGGCGGACGGGUGAGUAACACGUGGGUAACCUACCUAUAAGUCUGGAAUAACUCCGGGAAACCGGGGCUAAUGCCGGAUAACAUUUAGAACCGCAUGGUUCUAAAGUGAAAGAUGGUUUUGCUAUCACUUAUAGAUGGACCCGCGCCGUAUUAGCUAGUUGGUAAGGUAACGGCUUACCAAGGCAACGAUACGUAGCCGACCUGAGAGGGUGAUCGGCCACACUGGAACUGAGACACGGUCCAGACUCCUACGGGAGGCAGCAGUAGGGAAUCUUCCGCAAUGGGCGAAAGCCUGACGGAGCAACGCCGCGUGAGUGAUGAAGGUCUUCGGAUCGUAAAACUCUGUUAUUAGGGAAGAACAAAUGUGUAAGUAACUGUGCACGUCUUGACGGUACCUAAUCAGAAAGCCACGGCUAACUACGUG
rnacentral:rRNA from 1 species